UACGGAGGGUGCGAGCGUUGUUCGGAAUUACUGGGCGUAAAGCGCGUGCAGGCGGCCGACUAAGUCAGGUGUGAAAGCCCGGGGCUCACCUCCGGAAGUGCGCUUGAAACUGGUCGGCUAGAGUACGGGAGAGGGAAGCGGAAUUCCUGGUGUAGCGGUGAAAUGCGUAGAUAUCAGGAGGAACACCGGCGGCGAAGGCGGCAUCCUGGACCAUUACUGACGCUGAGGCGCGAAAGCUAGGGGAGCAAACGGG
rnacentral:rRNA from 1 species